rnacentral:tRNA from 2 species
GGCGGUGUAGCUCAGUCGGCAGAGCGGGGGUCUCAUAAGCCCUGUGUCGGCGGUUCGAGUCCGCCCACCGCCACCA